rnacentral:rRNA from 1 species
AUUGAACGCUGGCGGCAUGCCUUACACAUGCAAGUCGAACGGUAACAGGUCUUCAGAUGCUGACGAGUGGCGAACGGGUGAGUAAUACAUCGGAACGUGCCUAGUAGUGGGGGAUAACUACUCGAAAGAGUGGCUAAUACCGCAUGAGAUCUACGGAUGAAAGCAGGGGAUCGCAAGACCUUGUGCUACUAGAGCGGCCGAUGGCAGAUUAGGUAGUUGGUGGGAUAAAAGCUUACCAAGCCGACGAUCUGUAGCUGGUCUGAGAGGACGAUCGGCCACCCUGGGACUGAGACACGGCCCAGGCUCCUACGGGAGGCAGCAGUGGGGAAUUUUGGACAAUGGGCGCAAGCCUGAUCCAGCAAUGCCGCGUGCAGGAUGAAGGCCUUCGGGUUGUAAACUGCAUUUGUACGGAACGAAAAGCCCUGAGUUAAUACCCUGGGGUCAUGACGGUACCGUAAGAAUAAGCACCGGCUAACUACGUGCCAGCAGCCGCCGUAAGAC